UACAGAGGGUGCAAGCGUUAAUCGGAAUUACUGGGCGUAAAGCGCGCGUAGGUGGUUUGUUAAGUUGGAUGUGAAAGCCCCGGGCUCAACCUGGGAACUGCAUCCAAAACUGGCAAGCUAGAGUACGGUAGAGGGUGGUGGAAUUUCCUGUGUAGCGGUGAAAUGCGUAGAUAUAGGAAGGAACACCAGUGGCGAAGGCGACCACCUGGACUGAUACUGACACUGAGGUGCGAAAGCGUGGGGAACAAACAGG
rnacentral:rRNA from 1 species